rnacentral:rRNA from 1 species
UGGGGACUUUUCCGCAAUGGGCGAAAGCCUGACGGAGCAACGCCGCGUGAGGGAGGAAGGCUUUUGGGUUGUAAACCUCUUUUCUCAAGGAAGAUAAUGACGGUACUUGAGGAAUCAGCAUCGGCUAACUCCGUGCCAGCAGCCGCGGUAAUACGGAGGAUGCAAGCGUUAUCCGGAAUAAUUGGGCGUAAAGCGUUGGUAGGUGGUUUUGCAAGUCUGCUGUUAAAGCGUGUAGCUUAAGUACAUAAUGGCGGUGGAUACUGCAAAACUAGACUGCGUUCGGGGCAGAGGGAAUUCCUGGUGUAGCGGUGAAAUGCGUAGCUAUCAGGAAGAACACCGGUGGCGAAGGCGCUCUGCUAGGCCGCAACUGACACUGAGGGACGAAAGCUAGGGGAGCGAAUGGGAUUAGAUACCCCCGUAGUCC